GUGUUUCUACCUGGUCCCCCCACCCUGUUCCAUACAAGAAGAAGAAGAAGAGUUUUGGAUUUGAUAUCCCGCUUUAAGGUGGAUAAAGCGGGAUAUCAAAUCCAAAACUCUUCUUCUUCUUCUUGUAUGGAACAGGGUGGGGGGACCAGGUAGAAACAC